rnacentral:rRNA from 1 species
GACGAACGCUGGCGGCGUGCUUAACACAUGCAAGUCGAACGGAAAGGCCCUGCUUUUGUGGGGUGCUCGAGUGGCGAACGGGUGAGUAACACGUGAGUAACCUGCCCUUGACUUUGGGAUAACUUCAGGAAACUGGGGCUAAUACCGGAUAGGAGCUCCUGCUGCAUGGUGGGGGUUGGAAAGUUUCGGCGGUUGGGGAUGGACUCGCGGCUUAUCAGCUUGUUGGUGGGGUAGUGGCUUACCCAGGCUGUGACGGGUAGCCGGCCUGAGAGGGUGACCGGCCACAUUGGGACUGAGAUACGGCCCAGACUCCUACGGGAGGCAGCAGUGGGGAAUAUGGCACAAUGGGCGGAAGCCUGAUGCAGCAACGCCGCGUGCGGGAUGACGGCCUUCGGGUUGUAAACCGCUUUCGCCUGUGACGAAGCGUGAGUGACGGUAAUGGGUAAAGAAGCACCGGCUAACUACGUG